CAACUCAGCUGUGCCCCCACUCAGGUCCUCACUGCUCCUUGCCAUUGCAGGCAGACAUGCCACAGACGCUGAGUGCCUCCGACAUGGUCACCCCAGGCAGCCUCAGCCCACCCCCCACCGAGCCCACAGAUGGCGAACAGGCUGGGCAGCCCCUCCUGGAUGGAGCUCCAUCCUCAGCCUCCCUGGAAACACUGAUCCAGCACCUGGUGCCCACAGCCGACUACUACCCCGAGAAAGCCUACAUCUUCACCUUCCUGCUGAGCUCUCGCCUCUUCAUCGAGCCCCGGGAGCUCCUGGCCCGGGUCUGCCACCUGUGCAUCGAGCAGCAGCAGCUGGACAAGCCGGUGCUGGACAAGGU
rnacentral:lncRNA from 1 species